rnacentral:rRNA from 1 species
AGUCCUCUUGAAAUGGCAGCAGUCUGGUGGCGCAACGCCGCGUGAGUGAAGAAGGUUUUCGGAUCGUAAAGCUCUGUUGUUGGUGAAGAAGGAUAGAGGUAGUAACUGGCCUUUAUUUGACGGUAAUCAACCAGAAAGUCACGGCUAACUACGUGCCAGCAGCCGCGGUAAUACA